AAAAUGCUAAGUAUAGGUCAUUUUAGAGCUAUCCUAGGUUAAAUAUGUCAUUUUGGAUCUAAUUAAGCUUAUUAUGUCAUUUUGGAGCUAGCUAAGCAUGUGAAGUCAUUUAUGAGCUAAACUAUGUCAUUUCUUAAGCAUAUCAUGUCAUUUUAGAGCUAGUUAAGCAUAUUAACUAAUUUUGGAGGAAAAGAUUCUAAGUAUAGGUCAUUUUGAAGCUAGCUAAGCAUAUUAAGUCAUUUUGGAGGAAACAAUGCCAAGUAUAGGUCAUUUUAGAGCGAUCCUAGGUUAAAUAGGUCAUUUUGGAGCUAAUUAAGCUUAUUAUGUAAUUUUUGAGCUAGCUAAGCGCAUAUUAAGUCAUUUUGGAGGAAAAACUGCUAAGUAUAGGUCAUUUUAGAGCUAGCCUAGGUUGAAUAGGUCAUUUUGAAGCUAAGUAAGGUUAUUAUGUCAUUUUGGAGCUAGCUAAGCAUAUGAAGUCAUUUAGGACCUAAAAUAUGUCAUUUCUUAAGUAUAUUAUAUCAUUUUAGAGCUAUCCUAGGUUAAAUAUGUCAUUUNNNNNNNNNNAUGUCAUUUCUUAAGCAUAUUAUAUCAUUUUAGAGCUAUCCUAGGUUAAAUAUGUCAUUUUGGAGCUAAUUAAGCUUAUUAUGUAAUUUUUGAGCUAGCUAAGCAUAUUAAGUCAUUUUGGAGGAAAAAAUGCUAAGUAUAGGUCAUUUUAGAGCUAGCCUAGGUUGAAUAGGUCAUUUUGAAGCUAAGUAAGGUUAUUAUGUCAUUUUGGAGCUAGCUAAGCAUAUGAAGUCAUUUAGGACCUAAAAUAUGUCAUUUCUUAAGCAUAUUAUAUCAUUUUAGAGCUAUCCUAGGUUAAAUAUGUCAUUUUGGAGCUAAUUAAGCUUAUUAUGUCAUUUUUGAGCUAGGUAAGCAUAUUGAGUCAUUUUGGAGGAAAAAAUGCUAAGUAUAUAAUUAUGUCGCUAGUAUCCAUAUGGCAGAGAACCCGGGCCGACAUGACUAGUCAUAGAACCAAGGUGGCACAAACGUACAGGGAUAGGCAUACAUGACCCAGCAAUGCACGUGUCGGUCAUCAGCGAGUGCAACCAAGUCGUAGCAAGCUACAAGGACUUCGGUGAUACACCGCGUGACAUUUCCCCGUAGGGACAGACAUAGGAGCAAAGAAGGACACAUGCCGGUCAAUCCAUGUGUUCCGGAGCAGUAGCGAACUACCAUGGCUCAGUGGAAGCACUAGGAGGCAUUUCCCUGUAUGGAAGGCUACCAAAGGCACACGACUAGGUGUCGAAUCCCACACAUACAAUGCAUUUCAAACAUACACACAUUAUGCACGAUAUGUCUAGAUAUAUACAACAUGGCAUCACAACAAAACUCUAUUAAGCAAAACACUUGGGACACUUACCGUCAUCACGGAGGUGUAGGUGUAGGUGUAGGUGUAGGACCGGUCGCGCCAGUGGCAGACGGAGAAGGAUCAGUCGAUGCUUGUCGGGAGUUACACUGCACCAAAGAUUAUUUCCAAUGUAUCGUUAGCAUGAUGCAACUCAAAUGUAAGACUAGUAACUAAUGACUGUUCAAAUGAAACUCACCGUGCCCACCGGAGCAAUGACUGGCAUCGGCGGAGGGGUCUGGCCGUUCUUCUCGCACAUGGACUGCACAUUUGGUUUUGACGAGUCAGUCAUAUUAGUUACUAAUGAAAGGAACAUUGCGUGCAUGAUUUAGCUAAUAUGCAGAAGAAACUUACCACGAAGAGCUCGUACAUGGCCCGGUUAGCCAAGUCGUUCCGGUUCCUCUCCUCCUCCAACAGCCUAGCCGUCCUCUCCUCAUUCUCCCUGUCCCUCUCCGCCGCCUGCCGGUCCCGCUCCGCCAACUGCCGGUCCCUCUCCUCAAAAGCAGCCUGGGUCUUCACUCUCUCUGCCUCAAUAGCAGCCUGCAACGCCACUCGUUAGCAUUGUAAUCAUCAACGACCGCAAGCAUAAUGUAAUGGAGGAAAGGCUACUGAGUCCGUAUAAUUAACAAACCUGGAAUUCGAUUUCCACUGGUCAUGAACGAGGUGGUAUCUCAGGAUCAGAGCUGGUCUGGCGCUUCUUGAUCUGCGGGAGAGUGCUACUACAACGUAUCAGUCCAUUACCAAUGGCUAACGAGCCAUGGGACCUCCCGCCACCAGAUAUCAUCACCAGCUCUGGAUCAAGAGGCCGGCUCGGGUUAAAGUCCGGCCCUUUCCUCGCCAUCCCCUGCUUAACGUACUGCACCAUCUUGUGGUGGGAGGCCUCGUUGCUGAAGUUCUUUGCAUUUUCGAGGUCAGACUUAGAGAAUGCCUUGGCCUUCUUGUACGGUGCAAUAUUGGACAUGCCAUAGAGGUCGAACAGCUCUGGCACUGGAGCCUUGUUGUGUUUUGACUAAAAGAGAGGAACAGAGUAUUAGUUAAGGACUCAAGCUAGCACAAAGAAUGAAUUUGCAUGAAUCAUGAAGCAAACCACACAUACCCAGUUUUUCCCGUACCCAUGUAGGUCGACGCUGCCUAGAUGGUGUGGCACACCUUUCAUUUUGAAACGCUUCUCCUUUGCUAUGUUGUGGGCGACGCGCCAUUGGGGAGAGCACCACUCAUCCACCAACAACUCCUAGCAGUCCAUCUUGUCCGCACACCAUCUCGGAGGCACCUAAGUUAAGCAAGAGAAAUUUGAGCGCUACGCCUACGAAUCAAAUCAAGGAAACUAAGUACAAGGCCUUAAGAAUAGGUAAUUACCUUCAUGUACUUCUCCUUACUCAGAUACUUGUCCCGGCACUUCUCUUUUCUCCUCCUAAUACCAGCCUGUGCUAAGUAGUCUCGAACAGCCUGCGUCCGAGCCUCGUGCCAAAAGUUUCCAAGUAGGCGCCUGCACUUGGCGUCGAUAACCCGAGCCGCAGCCUCCUCCUGUCCCUCAGCACACCUGUAGAAGGUCUGCAAUCAAACAAGAAAACACGGAUUAGAAGGUCUGCAAUCAAACAAGAAAACACAUGUAGAAGGUAUGCAAUCAAAGAAGAAAACACAACGUAAAUGGCAAAGGAGAAAUUACCCAAAACAUGGUGAUCACAAUGUCGGCCACCGUGUCGCACUCGACAUCGCCGACCCUAUGCUCCGGCGGGCCCGGGGCAGCCAAGUAGUGCUCCCAGGUCAUUCCUAGCUCUGGAACCCGGCCCUCACCAGGCAACAUGACCCACCCCGGGAAGCACUGGCGACAAAUCACACCAAGGACAGUGUUGGGCCUGCGGACACCAUCUUCGUGUGUCCAAGAACAGCAGUAUGACAAGGCCAACAUAUUAGAUAUUCGAAGAAACGUCAAGGCAAAAGGUUAAAAAAUGAGUAAAUGCACUUACUUCUCCCCGUUAGGUGCAAUCAACCACCUCUGGUCGGGGGUCGCCGGGGUGGGCGGGAGCUUUGUACGACCACGCUGGUAGACUUUGCGCCCCUCAACCCACUCACCCUCUCUAUAGCUAUCAGGACUAUAGUCUCCACCCUAAACACAACCAUGUGCACUCGACUCCGUCCAGUCCUCCCAUGGGCUCGGCUCCGACUCAGCGUGACCCCGUCUGAGCUCCGGAGUCUCGUGGGGCGAAGACUCGGCAGCCCGAGGCUCGGCGGCCCGAGGCUCAUCGUCGGCCCGAGGCUCGUCGGCCAUAGGCGCGUCUUCCAUAGACGGGUCCACCUCAGAUGGCUCGAUCUCAGACGGAGCAGCCCUAUGGUCGGGUGACUCAGCUGGGGGUGGCGGCGAGGAAGGCGUAGCAGCCUUCCUACCUCUCCCGACGCCACGUCCACCUCUAGCAGCCUUCUCCUUCUUACCCCCUCGACCUCUCCCGGCCGAAGAAGAAGCGACCGUCACUGGACUCUGCAAACUGAGAUCUAGCGCUCUUCGGAGGCUAUGGGGGGGGAAUGGAACUACCCCUCCCACCACGCGCCGAGGUAGGAGCCCCGGAGCGCUCUCGACCCGCGCCCACCAUCUGUCAACACCUGGAAUGACAAAGAGUAAACAAAAUUAGUACAACAUAAAAAAAUGAAUACCUGACAUGAAUAAUAAUAUGUAUAUAAAUUCAUUUUAGAGGAAUAAAUGCUAAGUAUAGCUCAUUUUAGAGCUAUCCUAGGUUAAA
rnacentral:lncRNA from 1 species